GGGUUGUGAGGUUAAGCGACUAAGCGUACACGGUGGAUGCCCUGGCAGUCAGAGGCGAUGAAGGACGUGCUAAUCUGCGAUAAGCGUCGGUAAGGUGAUAUGAACCGUUAUAACCGGCGAUUUCCGAAUGGGGAAACCCAGUGUGAUUCGUCACACUAUCAUUAACUGAAUCCAUAGGUUAAUGAGGCGAACCGGGGGAACUGAAACAUCUAAGUACCCCGAGGAAAAGAAAUCAACCGAGAUUCCCCCAGUAGCGGCGAGCGAACGGGGAGGAGCCCAGAGCCUGAAUCAGUGUGUGUGUUAGUGGAAGCGUCUGGAAAGGCGCGCGAUACAGGGUGACAGCCCCGUACACAAAAAUGCACAUAUUGUGAGCUCGAUGAGUAGGGCGGGACACGUGGUAUCCUGUCUGAAUAUGGGGGGACCAUCCUCCAAGGCUAAAUACUCCUGACUGACCGAUAGUGAACCAGUACCGUGAGGGAAAGGCGAAAAGAACCCCGGCGAGGGGAGUGAAAAAGAACCUGAAACCGUGUACGUACAAGCAGUGGGAGCCUCUUUUAUGGGGUGACUGCGUACCUUUUGUAUAAUGGGUCAGCGACUUAUAUUCUGUAGCAAGGUUAACCGAAUAGGGGAGCCGAAGGGAAACCGAGUCUUAACUGGGCGUUAAGUUGCAGGGUAUAGACCCGAAACCCGGUGAUCUAGCCAUGGGCAGGUUGAAGGUUGGGUAACACUAACUGGAGGACCGAACCGACUAAUGUUGAAAAAUUAGCGGAUGACUUGUGGCUGGGGGUGAAAGGCCAAUCAAACCGGGAGAUAGCUGGUUCUCCCCGAAAGCUAUUUAGGUAGCGCCUCGUGAAUUCAUCUCCGGGGGUAGAGCACUGUUUCGGCAAGGGGGUCAUCCCGACUUACCAACCCGAUGCAAACUGCGAAUACCGGAGAAUGUUAUCACGGGAGACACACGGCGGGUGCUAACGUCCGUCGUGAAGAGGGAAACAACCCAGACCGCCAGCUAAGGUCCCAAAGUCAUGGUUAAGUGGGAAACGAUGUGGGAAGGCCCAGACAGCCAGGAUGUUGGCUUAGAAGCAGCCAUCAUUUAAAGAAAGCGUAAUAGCUCACUGGUCGAGUCGGCCUGCGCGGAAGAUGUAACGGGGCUAAACCAUGCACCGAAGCUGCGGCAGCGACACUAUGUGUUGUUGGGUAGGGGAGCGUUCUGUAAGCCUGUGAAGGUGUACUGUGAGGUAUGCUGGAGGUAUCAGAAGUGCGAAUGCUGACAUAAGUAACGAUAAAGCGGGUGAAAAGCCCGCUCGCCGGAAGACCAAGGGUUCCUGUCCAACGUUAAUCGGGGCAGGGUGAGUCGACCCCUAAGGCGAGGCCGAAAGGCGUAGUCGAUGGGAAACAGGUUAAUAUUCCUGUACUUGGUGUUACUGCGAAGGGGGGACGGAGAAGGCUAUGUUGGCCGGGCGACGGUUGUCCCGGUUUAAGCGUGUAGGCUGGUUUUCCAGGCAAAUCCGGAAAAUCAAGGCUGAGGCGUGAUGACGAGGCACUACGGUGCUGAAGCAACAAAUGCCCUGCUUCCAGGAAAAGCCUCUAAGCAUCAGGUAACAUCAAAUCGUACCCCAAACCGACACAGGUGGUCAGGUAGAGAAUACCAAGGCGCUUGAGAGAACUCGGGUGAAGGAACUAGGCAAAAUGGUGCCGUAACUUCGGGAGAAGGCACGCUGAUAUGUAGGUGAAGUCCCUCGCGGAUGGAGCUGAAAUCAGUCGAAGAUACCAGCUGGCUGCAACUGUUUAUUAAAAACACAGCACUGUGCAAACACGAAAGUGGACGUAUACGGUGUGACGCCUGCCCGGUGCCGGAAGGUUAAUUGAUGGGGUCAGCGCAAGCGAAGCUCUUGAUCGAAGCCCCGGUAAACGGCGGCCGUAACUAUAACGGUCCUAAGGUAGCGAAAUUCCUUGUCGGGUAAGUUCCGACCUGCACGAAUGGCGUAAUGAUGGCCAGGCUGUCUCCACCCGAGACUCAGUGAAAUUGAACUCGCUGUGAAGAUGCAGUGUACCCGCGGCAAGACGGAAAGACCCCGUGAACCUUUACUAUAGCUUGACACUGAACAUUGAGCCUUGAUGUGUAGGAUAGGUGGGAGGCUUAGAAGUGUGGACGCCAGUCUGCAUGGAGCCGACCUUGAAAUACCACCCUUUAAUGUUUGAUGUUCUAACGUGGACCCGUGAUCCGGGUUGCGGACAGUGUCUGGUGGGUAGUUUGACUGGGGCGGUCUCCUCCUAAAGAGUAACGGAGGAGCACGAAGGUUGGCUAAUCCUGGUCGGACAUCAGGAGGUUAGUGCAAUGGCAUAAGCCAGCUUGACUGCGAGCGUGACGGCGCGAGCAGGUGCGAAAGCAGGUCAUAGUGAUCCGGUGGUUCUGAAUGGAAGGGCCAUCGCUCAACGGAUAAAAGGUACUCCGGGGAUAACAGGCUGAUACCGCCCAAGAGUUCAUAUCGACGGCGGUGUUUGGCACCUCGAUGUCGGCUCAUCACAUCCUGGGGCUGAAGUAGGUCCCAAGGGUAUGGCUGUUCGCCAUUUAAAGUGGUACGCGAGCUGGGUUUAGAACGUCGUGAGACAGUUCGGUCCCUAUCUGCCGUGGGCGCUGGAGAACUGAGGGGGGCUGCUCCUAGUACGAGAGGACCGGAGUGGACGCAUCACUGGUGUUCGGGUUGUCAUGCCAAUGGCACUGCCCGGUAGCUAAAUGCGGAAGAGAUAAGUGCUGAAAGCAUCUAAGCACGAAACUUGCCCCGAGAUGAGUUCUCCCUGACCCUUUAAGGGUCCUGAAGGAACGUUGAAGACGACGACGUUGAUAGGCCGGGUGUGUAAGCGCAGCGAUGCGUUGAGCUAACCGGUACUAAUGAACCGUGAGGCUUAACCUUACAACGCCGAAG
rnacentral:rRNA from 1 species